CUUAGCUCAGCCGGUUAGAGCAUCUGACUGUUAAUCAGAGGGUCGUAGGUUCAAGUCCUACAGGGGA
rnacentral:tRNA from 1 species